rnacentral:rRNA from 1 species
AUUGAACGCUGGCGGCAUGCUUUACACAUGCAAGUCGAACGGUAGAGGGGGCAACCCCUUGAGAGUGGCGAACGGGUGAGUAAUGCAUCGGAACGUGCCCAGUCGUGGGGGAUAACGCAGCGAAAGCUGUGCUAAUACCGCAUACGAUCUCUGGAUGAAAGCGGGGGACCGAAAGGCCUCGCGCGAUUGGAGCGGCCGAUGUCAGAUUAGGUAGUUGGUGGGGUAAAGGCCUACCAAGCCAACGAUCUGUAGCUGGUCUGAGAGGACGACCAGCCAAACUGGGACUGAGAAACGGCACAGACUCCUACGGGAGGCAGCAGUGGGGAAUUUUGGACAAUGGGCGCAAGCCUGAUCCAGCAAUGCCGCGUGCAGGAAGAAGGCCUUCGGGUUGUAAACUGCUUUUGUACGGAACGAAACGGUCUGGGUUAAUACCCUGGGCUAAUGACGGUACCGUAAGAAUAAGCACCGGCUAACUACGUGCCAGCAGCCGCCGUAA